AAGGAGUGAGCCAGAGAAGCAAGGUCGACAAACGUUCUAAGGACUGCUGACUGGAACAAAAAGGCGAGAGUGGGAGCAGAAUUACUUUGAAUUCCGAGCUUGGGAACGGGAGAAUCACGAGCGUAACUCUGAACAGAUGAAAACUGACCAUCUUGGACAAUGAAACGAAGAAGCAGCC
rnacentral:lncRNA from 1 species